rnacentral:lncRNA from 1 species
UUAAGGAAGGCAGCUCAUCCUGCAGCACCAGGUCUAUAUACAGUAACGAGUCCCUUCCCUCCUGCUCUCGGGGGAAUGUCGCCCUCCACAGACACCAGCGCGAGGAAGGAGCCCCUCCAGUUGUAGGAACGGGAGAGUACAAGACCCACCUGCGGCAGUCUCUCCUGUUCCCUACCCCACUGAGGAUGCGCCAAGGCUCCACCACCAUGUGACCCGUCGAGGCCUGUGACUACUAUGUCCCUGAUUCCUAGGAGAGCAAUGGUUCAUGGGACAGAUGAGUUAGAGGACUCCAGACAGCUCUGCACAGGUUACCCCACAGAAGAGCUGCGCUCUCCACACGAGAAACCAAGUGCCUGAAAAAGUUACACGACGUAAGAACGUCCACCUGAACAAGGACCAAGACCAGAAGGAAGUGAGCCUCCAGGUGUGGCUGGGGCUGGGGGCAAGCAGCGUCUCUGAGCUAACUCCCCAGCCUUGGGAAGGCCUCCCUGUGUGAGGGAGGCCUUGUUACUUUCUCUUACUUCCCUUAGAUACCUCACAUGCCUGUGAGG